GGGCGAGUGGCGGAAUUGGUAGACGCGCUAGACUCAAAAUCUUGUAUUCGUAAGAAUGUGAGGGUUCAAGUCCCUCCUCGCCCACCA
rnacentral:tRNA from 1 species